GCCCGUAUAGCUCAGCUGGUAGAGCAUCGUACUUAUGUGGAUACCUUUCUCUGGGAAUGCGAUGGUCUUGGGUUCGAUCCCCAAUACGAGCA
rnacentral:tRNA from 1 species